CUGCGAGCGUGACGGCGCGAGCAGGUGCGAAAGCAGGUCAUAGUGAUCCGGUGGUUCUGAAUGGAAGGGCCAUCGCUCAACGGAUAAAAGGUACUCCGGGGAUAACAGGCUGAUACCGCCCAAGAGUUCAUAUCGACGGCGGUGUUUGGCACCUCGAUGUCGGCUCAUCACAUCCUGGGGCUGAAGUAGGUCCCAAGGGUAUGGCUGUUCGCCAUUUAAAGUGGUACGCGAGCUGGGUUUAGAACGUCGUGAGACAGUUCGGUCCCUAUCUGCCGUGGGCGCUGGAGAACUGAGGGGGGCUGCUCCUAGUACGAGAGGACCGGAGUGGACGCAUCACUGGUGUUCGGGUUGUCAUGCCAAUGGCACUGCCCGGUAGCUAAAUGCGGAAGAGAUAAGUGCUGAAAGCAUCUAAGCACGAAACUUGCCCCGAGAUGAGUUCUCCCUGACCCUUUAAGGGUCCUGAAGGAACGUUGAAGACGACGACGUUGAUAGGCCGGGUGUGUAAGCGCAGCGAUGCGUUGAGCUAACCGGUACUAAUGAACCGUGAGGCUUAACCUUACAACGCCGAAGGUGUUU
rnacentral:rRNA from 1 species